rnacentral:rRNA from 1 species
GUCCACGCCGUAAACGAUGGAUACUAGCUGUUGGGCGCAAGUUCAGUGGCUAAGCGAAAGUGAUAAGUAUCCCACCUUGGGAGUACGUUCGCAAGAAUGAAACUCAAAGGAAUUGACGGGGGCCCGCACAAGCGGUGGAGCAUGUGGUUUAAUUCGAUGAUACGCGAGGAACCUUACCAAGGCUUAAAUGUAGAUUGACCGUUUUGGAAACAGAACUUUCGCAAGACAAUUUACAAGGUGCUGCAUGGUUGUCGU